rnacentral:rRNA from 1 species
AGAACGAACGCUGGCGGCAUGCCUAACACAUGCAAGUCGAACGAGACCUUCGGGUCUAGUGGCGCACGGGUGCGUAACGCGUGGGAAUCUGCCCUUGGGUUCGGAAUAACACAGAGAAAUUUGUGCUAAUACCGGAUGAUGUCUUCGGACCAAAGAUUUAUCGCCCAAGGAUGAGCCCGCGUAGGAUUAGGUAGUUGGUGGGGUAAUGGCCUACCAAGCCGACGAUCCUUAGCUGGUCUGAGAGGAUGAUCAGCCACACUGGGACUGAGACACGGCCCAGACUCCUACGGGAGGCAGCAGUGGGGAAUAUUGGACAAUGGGCGAAAGCCUGAUCCAGCAAUGCCGCGUGAGUGAUGAAGGCCUUAGGGUUGUAAAGCUCUUUUACCAGGGAUGAUAAUGACAGUACCUGGAGAAUAAGCUCCGGCUAACUCCGCGCCAGCAGCCGC